ACGUGACAAACGACGAAAUGCCUUGGGUAGCUGUAAGUAAGCGAUGAUCCAGGGAUUUCCGAAUGGGGGAACCCAACAGGUACUACCUGUUACCCAUAUCUGUUAAGGAUAUGAGGAGGAAGACGCAGUGAACUGAAACAUCUAAGUAGCUGCAGGAAGAGAAAGCAAAAGCGAUUGCCUUAGUAGCGGCGAGCGAAACGGCAGGAGGGCAAACCGAAGAGUUUACUCUUCGGGGUUGUAGGACUGCAAUGUGGACUUAAAGAUUAUAGAAGAACUACCUGGGAAGGUAGGCCAAAGAGAGUAACAGCCUCGUAUUUAAAAUAGUCUUUAUACCUAGCAGUAUCCUGAGUACGGCGGGACACGAGAAAUCCCGGCGGAAUCUGGGAGGACCAUCUCCCAACCCUAAAUACUCUCUAGUGACCGAUAGUGAACCAGUACCGUGAGGGAAAGGUGAAAAGCACCCCGGGAGGGGAGUGAAAUAGAACCUGAAACCGUGUGCCUACAACAAGUUCGAGCCCGUUCAUGGGUGAGAGCGUGCCUUUUGUAGAAUGAACCGGCGAGUUACGUUAUGAUGCGAGGUUAAGUUGAAGAGACGGAGCCGUAGGGAAACCGAGUCUGAAUAGGGCGCUUUAGUAUUAUGUCGUAGACCCGAAACCAUGUGACCUACCCAUGAGCAGGUUGAAGGUGCGGUAAAACGCACUGGAGGACCGAACCAGGGCACGUUGAAAAGUGCUUGGAUGACUUGUGGGUAGCGGAGAAAUUCCAAACGAACUUGGAGAUAGCUGGUUCUCUCCGAAAUAGCUUUAGGGCUAGCGUCGAUGUUAAGUCUCUUGGAGGUAGAGCACUGUUUGGGUGAGGGGUCCAUCCCGGAUUACCAAUCUCAGAUAAACUCCGAAUGCCAAUGAAUUAUGGUCGGCAGUCAGACUGCGAGUGCUAAGA
rnacentral:rRNA from 1 species